rnacentral:rRNA from 1 species
UACGUAGGGGGCAAGCGUUGUCCGGAUUUAUUGGGCGUAAAGAGCGUGUAGGCGGCUAGGUAGGUCCGUUGUGAAAACUCGAGGCUCAACCUCGAGACGUCGAUGGAAACCAUCUAGCUAGAGUCCGGAAGAGGAGAGUGGAAUUCCUGGUGUAGCGGUGAAAUGCGUAGAGAUCAUGAGGAAGACCAGUGGCGAAGGCGGGUCUCUGGACAGUUCCUGACACUGAGGCACGAAGGCCAGGGGAGCAAACAGG